ACGCCGCCUUUCCUCUUCCUCUUACUGUGUGCUGGCGCGCCCAAGCCCAGUCAGUAUGUUCUGAGUGCUUGAUUCUAUCCCGAAGAAGAAAAUGACCACCUCACUGGUGAACAUGAUUGGCUGAAAGUCAGAUGGUAUGAUGGUGCAUUGGUUUAAAAGAUGAGAGCGAGUUAAUCUUGCUGAAAUCCAGAGACGAUCAUCCUGAUCCUGGAGUCUGACUCAAAAGGUGGCGAAUCCGCUGUCUGAUGUUGGGUGGUCCACCCUGAUGCAGGAUGCCAUCUGAUGCUUUACUCUAAAUCGUAUGUUGUGCACGAUACCACAGGAACGACUGGAUGAAAUGCUGCCGGAUCCAGAACUGAGCAACUGUGGAAGGAGAGUGAUGCAAGACCUGUGAAAGUCUCACAAACCACCUACUGGUUACAUAAAUUUACUCUCAGGUUCAUAGAAAGCUAGAGAUGCAAUUUGAGCUUCUAGUGCCUGUGUAACCCAAUUUUAACCAAUAAAACUUCAUAAAAUUAA